UGGUCAUGGUGUCUCUUCACAGCAAUAAAACCCUAACUAAGACACUGGGAUACUUAGCAAGACUGUCUCAAAAAUGAAAAAAACAAAAAAACAACCUACAAAUAAAAUAUUGUGGAACUAUUCUUCUUCCAUCAGGUGUUUUCUUGGACAGUGGAUUCUGUCAGGUCAAAACAAGUCUGCAGUUUGGGGGAGUUGAAAAGAGGUGCUGAGGUAUCCUUGAAAAGGUUAGCAGGAGUGCUGUGAGGUGGUUGUCUCUCCAGUUCUGCUUUAGUGAAGCUGCAUCCUCCUCCUUGGAGUCCUCUUCUCCUCAGGGCGGCUGCCUGCCACUGGGUCUCCUGUCUGCUCUGACUUGCGCGUGUCGCUGCCUGGCCGAUGUCAUCCUCACAGACAUGUGCUCCUAAGCUGUGGUUUGGAAAAGCUAGGAGGCUCCAGGUUGCACAGCCCAUGGCGAACCCGGAGCAUGAACCCCUGAGUGAGACCCAGGAGUGCUGACCAGGACAUGGGUGUCUCUAGCGGGUCGUACCUUGUGCGUUUUCUAACGAAUAUUCUUUCAGUGCCUGUCUGUUUCGAGAUGAGAAGAUAAACGCUGUGAGGGAAGGGUGGGAAGGCAGUAAGCACCCUAAUUUUUCCUAUUUUUAGAAGAAAACCAAAGCCCUGUAGUUCACUGCACUCUCUGGUUUUUGUCCAGUUGUAACAAUCUAGAGUCAGCUGGGAAGACUGGAAACCUCCGGGGAGGAACUUCCUCCAUCAGAUCAUCCUGUGGCCAUGUCUGUGGGGGUAUUCUCUUGAUUAGUGAUGGAUGUGGGUGGGCCCAGCCUGCUAUGAAGGGUGCCACCUCUGGGCAGGUGGACCUGCAUUAUAUAGGAAAGCAAGUCACCAGGCUUGUGGAGGCAGAAACAGGCAGAUCUCUGUGAGUUUGAGGUAAGCCUAAUCUACAGAAUAAGUUUCAAGAGUGCAUAGAGAGACCUUGUCUCCCUCGCUGCCUCCCCCCAACCCCCCCAAAAAAGGCAGGCUGAGCAAACCAUGGAAAGCAAGCCAGUAAGCAGCAUUCCUCCAGGGUUCCUGCCUCUGCUCCAGCUUGAGUUCCUGACUUGACUUUCCUUAAUGAUGAAUGUGAUGUGGAAAUGUAAGCAAAAUAAAAACCCUUUCCUCCCCAACUUGCUUCUAGUCAUGGCAUAUUUCACAGCAAGGGUAUAUUGGUUAUCUUUUGUUACCCAAGCCCGUGAAAACUAACUCAGGUUUAAAAUUAAUCAGUGUGGUUGUGGUUUGUUUCUCUCUUUCUCUCUCUCUCUCUCUCUCUCUCUCUCUCUCUCUCUCUCUCUCUCUCUCUCUGUCUAAGUGACUGAUAACAAUUCAGACAGGCUCAAACAACAAUGGGCUGCGUCUGUCAGCAUGCUGUUUAGUCCUUCUAAAUAUGAUGCAGGAACGUUGUGAGACUUGGUGGGAGACCGGCUUGGACCAGCUGAUGUGUCCUAGUACUCGGCAGCCAGGCCUCUCAGAGCAGGGUUUAUUCUUCUUGGAGCGUUCAUGUGGAGUUAGGCAACCCAGAAGGGGACAAUGCUGUGCUUUUCUCUUUCAUUCCCAGAGUCUAGAGCAGUGGCAGGUACCCGAGGGCGUUCUAGCUUCAAGACUGUUUUCAUUUCAUUUCAUUUUACUUUUGGUUAUUUUUUAAAUUAGUGUAUAGAACAGUGAGUUUCAUGUGACAUUUUCUAUGCCCUUUAUCUGUCCCCUCUCACUCUCCACCUGUUCUCCUGGCCCGCUUUCUCAAACACUCCUCACCCUUCAUUUCUGCUUCUUUUUAUUUUCUUCUUUUGUAACGUAUAUUCCAUUCCCUACUAUUGUCUGGUGUGUUUCCCCAGAUCUACUCGUCCCCUCGCUUGGUCCCCUUCCUAGUUUCAUGACCUUUCCUCCUUCUCUACACACACAGAGAAAUGGAAGCUCGGGUCUUCGUCUACAGAAAACAAGAGGUGUGUGUCUUUCUAAAUCUGGGUUAUUUUCACUUUAAUAUAAUAAUUUCCAGCUCCAUCCAUUUUCCUGUAAAGCGCUUUCUUUUUUAAUUUAAGGCCGAAUAAAAUUCCAUUGGGUUUAUGUACCGCUUUUUCUUUACUCUUUCACUGAUGGCCAUUUGGGCUGGUUCCCUUUUCUAGAUGCUGUGUAUAACAUGAUGUAAACAUGAAUGUCCAUGGGUCUUUGUAGUGGCUAUCUGCUCUAUGACCCUGAAGCACAGCCCUAGAGCAAUUAGCAGACUUGGAUGCUGGGAUAGCCUCAGUCCUGUAAGAACAGCGUGGGACCGUGCCUCACCUUUUCCAGGACACUGCGACAAUCCAACAAUUUCUAUGUUCUGUCUUGUGAGUUUUCCUUUCUUAAUAAAUCCAUUUGUCCUUU